rnacentral:lncRNA from 1 species
UAAAAACAAAACACCUCUGCAUAAUGUUCAUGUAAUGUUAAAAUUACAAGGUAUUUAUUAUAAAAUAACUACAAUCUUAUUUUACUGUUUCAGAUCGUGUAGAUUACUACAUGUAGCAGUUAUUCCGAUUUGACAAUGUAUAGAACAAAUACACUUGAUAAUUUAAACGAUAAAAAUAUUGAACGUUUCGUGGUACCGUUAUCAUUUCUCUGCGUCUUGUUGAUUUUUGGAAUACCAGGAAAUUUAACCGUUUUAUUCAUAUACGGUACCAAAUAUUCCAAAUGUGUCUUCAGAGUAUUCAUUACUAAUCUUGCAGUUGUGGAUCUGGUAUUCUGCAUUAUUGGCAUACCAUUUAAUAUCGCGCGUAUUGUUCAUUAUUAUACAUUCGAGGGCCGAUGGGUGUGCAAACUCUUCACAGCAAUCAUUGUAUUUGGAUUCAUGUGUUCUGCUCACCUGGUGAUGUUACUCUCAGUUCACAGAUUCAGGCAAAUCUGUUAUCCUGUUAGAGCGCAAAUUUCUCUUCGGAACGUCCGGUAUUUUAUUAUAGCCUGUGUGGCUAUCGGAUUGCUGCUUUCAUUUCCUCAAGCAGUAUUGAUUGAUAUUGAUGAGUUACAGGUAGAAAAUAACAUUACAGUUCACAUCUGUCCUAUAACCGCUGCGCAUCCUUCAAAGUUCUCGAUUGUAUACAGUACUUUCAAUGUGUGUUUGUUUUCGAUUUAUACAAUAGUCUUAUUUGUACUAUAUUCGCUGAUUGCAAGAAAAAUGUACUUGCAACGUCUAAAAAGAAUACGUCCAUAUACACAAACAUCUGAAAGCAAUAUUUCGAACAAAAUGACAAAGAUUGCUUUCACUAUUGCAGUGGUGUUUGCAUUGAGUUAUAUUCCUCUUUUUCUACUUAAAGUGGCUAAGCAUUGGUUUAAUGAGAAUGACAUCAGCGAGGUCGAGUUUGAAUUAUUGAAAAUUGCUGAAAGAUUUUACAUCAUCAACCACGUUGCAAAUCCGUUCAUAUAUGCUGUGUUUGACAAUCGUUUUAGACGAACUGUGAGGAUACUUGUAUCUUUCAAAAAGCAUGGAAGACAUGAUGAACAAUAUAAAAUAGACCACUCAACUGAAAAAACAACAUCAACGACAGUGUUGUAAAUGACUCUAUCUAAUCACUCUUACAUUAUAUGAACAUGAUAGAAUGCAUGUAAAAGCAUUUAUAACAAACGUACGUAUACAAUAAAGUGUUUGUAAUUUUCUGCAUUGACGCAAUAUAGCAGCCAGACG